UGCGUAGGCGGUCGGGUAAGUCUGACGUGAAAUCUUCGAGCUUAACUCGGAAACUGCGUCGGAUACUAUUCGGCUAGAGGAAUGGAGGGGAGACUGGAAUACUUGGUGUAGCAGUGAAAUGCGUAGAUAUCAAGUGGAACACCAGUGGCGAAGGCGAGUCUCUGGACAUUUCCUGACGCUGAGGCAAAGCCAGGGGAGCGAAACG
rnacentral:rRNA from 1 species